rnacentral:rRNA from 1 species
UAAUCCAAUGGAAUCGCUAUGGUUUUAUUGGCAAAGAUUAUUGCAUAGGGAUGGGCUCGCGUCCGAUUAGAUAGUUGGACGGGGCAACGGCCCACCAAGUCUACGAUCGGUAGCCGGACUGAGAGGUUGAACGGCCACAUUGGAACUGAGAAACGGGUCCAGACUCCUACGGGAGGCAGCAGUGGGGAAUAUUGGGGCAAUGGGCGAAAGCCUGACCCAGCGACGCCGCGUGUAAGGAAGACGGUCCUCGGAUUGUAAACUUCUUUUAUGUAGGACGAAGAAAUGACGGUACUACAUGAAUAAGCCACGGCUAACUACGUGCC